UACAGAGGUCUCAAGCGUUGUUCGGAUUCAUUGGGCGUAAAGGGUGUGUAGGUGGCGCGCUAAGUCGGGUGUGAAAUUUCGGAGCUUAACUCCGAAACUGCAUUCGAUACUGGCGUGCUUGAGGACUGGAGAGGAGACUGGAAUUUACGGUGUAGCAGUGAAAAUGCGUAGAUAUCGUAAGGAAGACCAGUGGCGAAGGCGGGUCUCUGGACAGUUCCUGACGCUGAGGCACGAAGGUCAGGGGGAGCAAAACGGG
rnacentral:rRNA from 1 species